rfam:Xenorhabdus bovienii SS-2004 chromosome, complete genome
GUAGGUUGUUCUACGUCUCAAUGGUAGUUUUUAGCGCAAGGCUUUUUGAUAGAGCCAUUUUCCAUAGGCCGAGUAGAGGAGUAUACUCGGCCUUUUUUU